CAUACAUGGAGCCAAUACCAAUCACACCCCUACAAUGCUACUAGGCAUAGACGCUGAAAAAGCUUUUGAUAGGGUAGACUGGAAGUACCUAUUUGGAGUACUGGAGAACCUAGGUCUAGGCCCCAAAUUAAGGAACUGGAUACGCACACUAUACAUAGGUCCGACAGCCACUGUACGGGUAAAUGGGCAACACUCCACCCCCUUCCAAAUAGGAAACGGCACCCGCCAGGGAUGCCCGCUCUCCCCUCUCCUGUUCGUCUUGGCGAUAGAGCCUUUUCUGACAUCUGUCAGAAACAACCCCCAAAUUAAGGGACACUGCUAUCCAGGGGGAGAGGUGAAGGUCUCUGCAUUCACAGACGACGUGCUCUUCUCUGUCACGGACCCGCUCCACACACUGACCCAGGUACAAACGGAAAUAAAUAAAUUUGGCACACUAUCAAAUUUCAAAAUCAACACAGAAAAAUGCGAGAUACUAGGACUCUCCAUACCAUCGGCCUUACAGGCCCAGAUUAAGGAAUCCCACAACUUCGCCUGGGCUCAGAAAAGCUUGACAUAUCUAGGUAUCCGCCUCACCCCGUCACUCAAGGACCUGUACACUCAGAACUUCCCGACACUCAUAGACACUAUAGCUCGAGACCUCAAAAAAUGGGACUCACCCCAAUUUUCAUUAAUGGGUCG